rnacentral:tRNA from 1 species
GCCUAACUCAGUCAGUAGAGUAUGGGACUCUUAAUCCCAUUGUUGUGGGUUCAUGAACCACAUUGGGCA